CAGUAGCCACGGUAAUACGUAGGGUGCGAGCGUUAAUCGGAAUUACUGGGCGUAAAGCGUGCGCAGGCGGUUAUGCAAGACAGAUGUGAAAUCCCCGGGCUUAACCUGGGAACCGCAUUUGUGACUGCAUGGCUAGAGUGCGGCAGAGGGGGAUGGAAUUCCGCGUGUAGCAGUGAAAUGCGUAGAUAUGCGGAGGAACACUGAUGGCGAAGGCAAUCCCCUGGGCCUGCACUGACGCUCAUGCACGAAAGCGUGGGGAGCAAACAGGAUUAGAUACCCGCGUAGUCCCUGUCUCUUAUAC
rnacentral:rRNA from 1 species